AUGAAAGAGUUGCUUGAGCAUUCAGGCUUGUCAGCAGAUCAAAAAUAUGCAGUGGAGCUAAUUGGAGGUGCUACCAGAGUGCCAAAGUUACAGGCUAAGCUUCAAGAGUUCCUUGGUAGAAAAGAAAUUGAUUGGCAUCUUGAUGCUGAUGAAGCAAUAGUUCUUGGUGUUGCCCUGCAUGCUGCAAAUAUAAAUGAUGGAAUCAGAAACAGAACUACAAACUAA